GACGAACGCUGGCGGCGUGCCUAAUACAUGCAAGUCGAACGCUUCUUUCUUAUCGGACUUCGGUUCACCAAGAAAGAGGAGUGGCGGACGGGUGAGUAACACGUGGGUAACCUGCCCUUUAGCGGGGGAUAACACUUGGAAACAGGUGCUAAUACCGCAUAAUCUUUUUUCUCGCAUGAGAGAAAAGUGAAAGACGCUUUUGCGUCACUAGAGGAUGGACCCGCGCUGCAUUAGCUAGUUGGUGAGGUAACGGCUCACCAAGGCGACGAUCAGUAGCCGGUCUGAGAGGAUGAACGGCCACAUUGGGACUGAGAUACGGCCCAG
rnacentral:rRNA from 1 species